GACGAACGCUGGCGGCGUGCUUAACACAUGCAAGUCGAACGGUGAAGCUCCAGCUUGCUGGAGUGGAUCAGUGGCGAACGGGUGAGUAACACGUGAGCAACCUGCCCCUGACUCUGGAAUAAGCGCUGGAAACGGCGUCUAAUACUGGAUACGAGAAGGGUCCGCAUGGGCACUUUCUGGAAAGUUUUUCGGUUGGGGAUGGGCUCGCGGCCUAUCAGCUUGUUGGUGAGGUAAUAGCUCACCAAGGCGACGACGGGUAGCCGGCCUGAGAGGGCGACCGGCCACACUGGGACUGAGACACGGCCCAGACUCCUACGGGAGGCAGCAGUGGGGAAUAUUGCACAAUGGGCGAAAGCCUGAUGCAGCGACGCCGCGUGAGGGAUGACGGCCUUCGGGUUGUAAACCUCUUUCAGCAGGGAAGAAGCGAAAGUGACGGUACCUGCAGAAGAAGCACCGGCUAACUACGUG
rnacentral:rRNA from 1 species